CCUAUUAGUUAUUGCUUUCUUAUGCCAAUUGACAAAAAGCAUAAGGAUCUAAAAUCUUAUGAGGUUGCAAACUUUUACACCGAACAUCAUACAGUAAAUCCUUAUUUACCCAAGGAUUAUACUUAUUAUCAAGCAAUUUUGGCCGAAACAGAUUCAGUUGUCUUUUCUCCAACUGAAAGAUCCGCUAAUGAGUAGGCAUUUAGUAAAUUCAUAAUAAAAAGGAUAAUAUCCUAUAAUGAUUGGGGAUACUCACUGUUUAAACAGAAAGAAUUAAAUUUUGGAAAGCCUAAGUAUUUUAAUUAUUUUGAUUACAUGCAAGCCUGGACAGGAGCCUUAAUAUACGAGAACAGGCCGCAAAAGUUUAGUUGGUUCAUUCAAUUCCAACUAGACAAAGAAUCUUGGGAAAUCCCAUCAUGGUUCUUU
rnacentral:misc_RNA from 1 species